rnacentral:rRNA from 1 species
CAAGCUGCGGAGGGACGCAGUGAGGUAGCUCAUCCCCGGUGAUGGUUGUCCGGGGCUAAGUGUGUGGACUGUCUGGUAGGUAAAUCCGCUGGGCGUGAAGGUUGAGGCAUGAUGGGGAGCCCACGGUUGUGGGUGAGUGAGUGAUCCUGUACUGUCGAGAAAAGCUUCGUGAGCGAGGUGGCGGGUCCGCCCGUACCCUAAACCGACACUGGUGGAUAGGUAGAGUAUACCGAGGCGAUCGAGUGAAUCGUGGUGAAGGAACUCGGCAAAAUGCCCCCG